rnacentral:rRNA from 1 species
GACGAACGCUGGCGGCGUGCUUAACACAUGCAAGUCGAACGGAAAGGCCCUGCUUUUGUGGGGUGCUCGAGUGGCGAACGGGUGAGUAACACGUGAGUAACCUGCCCUUGACUUUGGGAUAACUUCAGGAAACUGGGGCUAAUAUCGGAUAGGAGCUCCUGUUGCAUGGUGGGGGUUGGAAAGUUUCGGCGGUUGGGGAUGGACUCGCGGCUUAUCAGCUUGUUGGUGGGGUAGUGGCUUACCAAGGCUUUGACGGGUAGCCGGCCUGAGAGGGUGACCGGCCACAUUGGGACUGAGAUACGGACCAGACUCCUACGGGAGGCAGCAGUGGGGAAUAUUGCACAAUGGGCGGAAGCCUGAUGCAGCAACGCCGCGUGCGGGAUGACGGCCUUCGGGUUGUAAACCGCUUUCGCCUGUGACGAAGCGUGAGUGACGGUAAUGGGUAAAGAAGCACCGGCUAACUACGUG